AUCGGAAUCGAUUUUACCAUCCCUAGAUCGUUCCAGUGGUUCCAGUAUUAUUAUUUUUCAGGAGUCCGACCUCUUGCUCACCACUUUACAUGAAAGUUACGAAACCUGCGAAAAUGAAGGUUAUGGUUGUGUUUGCCGUCCCAUGCCUGACUUGUUUACGUAAGGUAUUCCAAUCGGUACUUCGUUCGAAGACAACACGAGCUCAAUCAAUGAUGCGGUUUCAAUCCGAGAAUAAGCAGCUAUACGGGAAGGUUCUUGAAACCAAGAAGCAAAAAAUUGCUAGAGCGAAACACAUAGAUGAAGAAGUCCUGAACGAAGCGGAGUCCCAAAUAGACUCCGAGGCUUUCUGGCUUUCGAAAGUGGAUAACGAAGUGGUACGAAGAGUAAAAAUUAAUCGUAAAUCAAUACCAAGCCGAAGGAUAAAGAUUGAAGAAACAUCAAAAAAUGCACGAAAGAAACAGGAAGCCAUAUAUCGUACUUCGCUAGUGGAUGCAGAAGUUGAACAAUCUAGGAUGGAAAAUGUGCCCGGAAAAGUUGAACAUCUUACUCAUAUUGUCCAUAAAAACAAACGACUUGGCUUUCCUUCAGAGAUAUUAAUAAAAAAUAUCACUAACUUUUCUUAUUUAGAUAAAAGUAAGGAUGUCGGAGUGUGUACACACGAAGUAGUUUCUAUACCGGUGUAUCAUGAUUCUACAACAGCAUUUAUUCCAAGUGUUUCAAAAAUUUUAAAUCAAACUAUGUCAGAGGAGUCAAAAUUGAAUUUAGAAUUAUGGAAGAAAAGAAUGAUAGCUUUGAUGGGUGAAAAAGGCUUCGAAGAACAUCAACAAGAGACACUUUGUUAUGGGAGGCAAUUUCAUUCUAUCAUUCACAAUUUUCUCACCCAAAAGCCAAUUAAUGUUCCUGACGCAUUGGAGAAAUCUUGGCAGAGUGUGCAGCAGGUUUUGAAAGAAGUGCAUGGAGUCGCAGCACUGGAAAGCCACACCAUACAUUCUAAAUUGCAUUACAGAGGAGUCGUUGAUUGUGUUGCUCUGUAUAGCGUGAAUUGUCUAAGAAUACAGCAAUACCGUGGUCGAUAUCGGAAAAUAUUCAACCGACGCAAAUAUCAAAUGAUACAGAAAUUGGAUGUUAUUUAUUGAAAGAAAAAAUCUGAAAUUCAAUGUGAAAUGUCAUUAAAAAGUGGGAGUUUGGACAAGCAGAGGCUCGAAGUUUAAACUUUGA
rnacentral:misc_RNA from 1 species